rnacentral:tRNA from 1 species
GUGGAUAUAGCUCAGUUGGUACAGUGCUUGCAUCACAUGCACAAGGCCCUGGAUUCAAUCCCCAGCACCACA